UUUUCUAGAUGGGUAAUUUUACAUUUCACUUUCUUUUUUAUUAUUAAAUUCCUUAGUUCAGAUUUGAUCCCAUUUAUAACAUCUCUACUUUGUUGGGUGUUUACUUCAGCUUCUAGAAUAUUUCCUGAAGUAUAUUUUUCAUUUUUGUUUUGUUUACAAUUUGAACUAUUCUACAAUUUUUCCCUUAAAAUAACUGUUUCUGAAAUUGUCUCAUUUUAGUCAAUUUUUAAGUUUUUAUUGCCCUCUUAAAACAAACUUGUUAAGUUUAUAUAACUGGGUGAUUUAAAUCUUUUCUUUACUAUCUUUCAGCUUAUUAAGCAUUUUCCCUGGCUAAGCAUUAGCUAAACUAGUUGGUAUAGAUAUGCAAUGGUAAACUGAUUGGUACAGAUAUGUAAUGGAGGAAAUAAACUGUGUAACAAAAUAUUAAAUUUAGUUUAAAAAUUUCUGCCUGUAUUGCAAAUUUAGGAAAAUCCUUAAUUAUGCCCCUUAACUUGGCUCUAGAUAAGAAUUUUAAUUCAAUCUUUUGGCCUCAAAAUUUUACAAUAUAAUUGUUCUUCCUCUGAGAAAACCCUGAGAAAAGAAUAGCUCAUUUAGAAAGUCUAGUAAAAUUGAGUAGAAAACAAGAGAGAAAUGCAAAGUGAAUAGGUUUCAAAAAGUUACAAAGUCUUUGAGAGAGACUGUCUUGAGUUAGAACUUUUUUGAGCUCUUAGCAUGACAUAGAAGCUGACUAAUGGAGUUCCCGUCGUGGCGCAGUGGUUAACGAAUCCGACUAGGAACCGUGAGGUUGAGGGUUCGGUCCCUGCCCUUGCUCAUGUGGGCUUUUGAAAGGUAUUUGGGUUCUCCAACAAAGCAGAGACUAACUAGGAAGAGGCCACUCACUCAACAACCUGACGCUUGAUGCUUGAGUAUGGACAAAACAAAGUGAACAAAUUAACAAGAAAGUGUGUACUCCUAUAAAAAAGGUUUUAUAGGAGAUUCUAGAUAAAGUUUGACAAACUCUUUUUUUUUUUCCCCCUCACAAAUUGACUGCUGGUCUAACAACAGAUCUCCAACCAUUAGCCCUCAAGUCUGGCUUGUGCUGAAUUGAAAACCUACUGGGCUUAUGCACCCAUCGGUUCCCUAUGGAAUACCCACUUACACAUUCAAAAGAAACAAAACAACCAAGAACAAAGCAAAAACACAGGAAAGAAGACUGUGUACAUGUAGGCAAACAGCAGCAAAAGCAAGGCAAUCAACAGGAGACCAAGCAGGUUAACGGUGAAAAAAAUUUCUCAAAUGGCAUACCUCAAAACAAAAGGUAUAAUGAUUUUAUGCACCUAUUUAGUGAACACAUCUAAACCAAAAAGUCUAAUUGCUCUAUACAAAGACCUAGGCUUAAACAUAGACAUAUUUGUUUACAAAUCCUAGAAUAACAAAAUAAAUUCAACUAUCACGUAACAUCUGAAAUAAAAAGACAAAGCAAAUUUAUUGUUUAUUAUAGUAAGAGAUGUCAGUUAGACACAGUCUUUUUUAGCAGAACCCAUUGCC
rnacentral:lncRNA from 1 species